rnacentral:rRNA from 1 species
GAUGAACGCUGGCGGCGUGCCUAAUACAUGCAAGCCGAGCGAACGGACGAGAAGCUUGCUUCUCUGAUGUUAGCGGCGGACGGGUGAGUAACACGUGGAUAACCUACCUAUAAGACUGGGAUAACUUCGGGAAACCGGAGCUAAUACCGGAUGAUAUUUUGAACCGCAUGGUUCAAAAGUGAAAGACGGUCUUGCUGUCACUUAUAGAUGGAUCCGCGCUGCAUUAGCUAGUUGGUAAGGUAACGGCUUACCAAGGCAACGAUGCAUAGCCGACCUGAGAGGGUGAUCGGCCACACUGGAACUGAGACACGGUCCAGACUCCUACGGGAGGCAGCAGUAGGGAAUCUUCCGCAAUGGGCGAAAGCCUGACGGAGCAACGCCGCGUGAGUGAUGAAGGUCUUCGGAUCGUAAAACUCUGUUAUUAGGGAAGAACAUAUGUGUAAGUAACUGUGCACAUCUUGACGGUACCUAAGCAGAAAGCCACGGCUAACUACGU